GCCGGAGUGGUGAAAUUGGCAGACACGCAUGGUUCAGGUCCAUGUGCCCGCAAGGGCGUGGGGGUUCAAGUCCCUUCUCCGGCACCA
rnacentral:tRNA from 1 species